GGUUAAGCGACUAAGCGUACACGGUGGAUGCCCUGGCAGUCAGAGGCGAUGAAGGACGUGCUAAUCUGCGAUAAGCGCCGGUAAGGUGAUAUGAACCGUUAUAACCGGCGAUUUCCGAAUGGGGAAACCCAGUGUGAUUCGUCACACUAUCAUUAACUGAAUCCAUAGGUUAAUGAGGCGAACCGGGGGAACUGAAACAUCUAAGUACCCCGAGGAAAAGAAAUCAACCGAGAUUCCCCCAGUAGCGGCGAGCGAACGGGGAGGAGCCCAGAGCCUGAAUCAGCAUGUGUGUUAGUGGAAGCGUCUGGAAAGGCGCGCGAUACAGGGUGACAGCCCCGUACACAAAAGCGCAUGUGCUGUGAGCUCGAUGAGUAGGGCGGGACACGUGGUAUCCUGUCUGAAUAUGGGGGGACCAUCCUCCAAGGCUAAAUACUCCUGACUGACCGAUAGUGAACCAGUACCGUGAGGGAAAGGCGAAAAGAACCCCGGCGAGGGGAGUGAAAAAGAACCUGAAACCGUGUACGUACAAGCAGUGGGAGCACAGGUUUACCUGUGUGACUGCGUACCUUUUGUAUAAUGGGUCAGCGACUUAUAUUCUGUAGCAAGGUUAACCGUAUAGGGGAGCCGGAGGGAAACCGAGUCUUAAUUGGGCGUUAAGUUGCAGGGUAUAGACCCGAAACCCGGUGAUCUAGCCAUGGGCAGGUUGAAGGUUGGGUAACACUAACUGGAGGACCGAACCGACUAAUGUUGAAAAAUUAGCGGAUGACCUGUGGCUGGGGGUGAAAGGCCAAUCAAACCGGGAGAUAGCUGGUUCUCCCCGAAAGCUAUUUAGGUAGCGCCUCGUGAAUUCAUCUCCGGGGGUAGAGCACUGUUUCGGCUAGGGGGCCAUCCCGGCUUACCAACCCGAUGCAAACUGCGAAUACCGGAGAAUGUUAUCACGGGAGACACACGGCGGGUGCUAACGUCCGUCGUGAAGAGGGAAACAACCCAGACCGCCAGCUAAGGUCCCAAAGUCAUGGUUAAGUGGGAAACGAUGUGGGAAGGCCCAGACAGCCAGGAUGUUGGCUUAGAAGCAGCCAUCAUUUAAAGAAAGCGUAAUAGCUCACUGGUCGAGUCGGCCUGCGCGGAAGAUGUAACGGGGCUAAACCAUGCACCGAAGCUGCGGCAGCGACGCUGAUGCGUUGUUGGGUAGGGGAGCGUUCUGUAAGCCUGCGAAGGUGACCUGUGAGGGUUGCUGGAGGUAUCAGAAGUGCGAAUGCUGACAUAAGUAACGAUAAAGCGGGUGAAAAGCCCGCUCGCCGGAAGACCAAGGGUUCCUGUCCAACGUUAAUCGGGGCAGGGUGAGUCGACCCCUAAGGCGAGGCCGAAAGGCGUAGUCGAUGGGAAACGGGUUAAUAUUCCCGUACUUGGUGUUACUGCGAAGGGGGGACGGAGAAGGCUAUGUUGGCCGGGCGACGGUUGUCCCGGUUUAAGCGUGUAGGUGUGUGUUCCAGGUAAAUCCGGUUCACUUUAACACUGAGGCGUGAUGACGAGGCACUACGGUGCUGAAGCAACAAAUGCCCUGCUUCCAGGAAAAGCCUCUAAGCAUCAGGUAACAUCAAAUCGUACCCCAAACCGACACAGGUGGUCAGGUAGAGAAUACCAAGGCGCUUGAGAGAACUCGGGUGAAGGAACUAGGCAAAAUGGUGCCGUAACUUCGGGAGAAGGCACGCUGACACGUAGGUGAAGUGAUUUACUCAUGGAGCUGAAGUCAGUCGAAGAUACCAGCUGGCUGCAACUGUUUAUUAAAAACACAGCACUGUGCAAACACGAAAGUGGACGUAUACGGUGUGACGCCUGCCCGGUGCCGGAAGGUUAAUUGAUGGGGUCAGCGCAAGCGAAGCUCCUGAUCGAAGCCCCGGUAAACGGCGGCCGUAACUAUAACGGUCCUAAGGUAGCGAAAUUCCUUGUCGGGUAAGUUCCGACCUGCACGAAUGGCGUAAUGAUGGCCAGGCUGUCUCCACCCGAGACUCAGUGAAAUUGAACUCGCUGUGAAGAUGCAGUGUACCCGCGGCAAGACGGAAAGACCCCGUGAACCUUUACUAUAGCUUGACACUGAACAUUGAGCCUUGAUGUGUAGGAUAGGUGGGAGGCUUUGAAGUGUGGACGCCAGUCUGCAUGGAGCCGACCUUGAAAUACCACCCUUUAAUGUUUGAUGUUCUAACGUGGACCCGUAAUCCGGGUUGCGGACAGUGUCUGGUGGGUAGUUUGACUGGGGCGGUCUCCUCCUAAAGAGUAACGGAGGAGCACGAAGGUUGGCUAAUCCUGGUCGGACAUCAGGAGGUUAGUGCAAUGGCAUAAGCCAGCUUGACUGCGAGCGUGACGGCGCGAGCAGGUGCGAAAGCAGGUCAUAGUGAUCCGGUGGUUCUGAAUGGAAGGGCCAUCGCUCAACGGAUAAAAGGUACUCCGGGGAUAACAGGCUGAUACCGCCCAAGAGUUCAUAUCGACGGCGGUGUUUGGCACCUCGAUGUCGGCUCAUCACAUCCUGGGGCUGAAGUAGGUCCCAAGGGUAUGGCUGUUCGCCAUUUAAAGUGGUACGCGAGCUGGGUUUAGAACGUCGUGAGACAGUUCGGUCCCUAUCUGCCGUGGGCGCUGGAGAACUGAGGGGGGCUGCUCCUAGUACGAGAGGACCGGAGUGGACGCAUCACUGGUGUUCGGGUUGUCAUGCCAAUGGCACUGCCCGGUAGCUAAAUGCGGAAGAGAUAAGUGCUGAAAGCAUCUAAGCACGAAACUUGCCCCGAGAUGAGUUCUCCCUGAGACUUAGAGUCUCCUGAAGGAACGUUGAAGACGACGACGUUGAUAGGCCGGGUGUGUAAGCGCAGCGAUGCGUUGAGCUAACCGGUACUAAUGAACCGUGAGGCUUAACCUU
rnacentral:rRNA from 1 species